rnacentral:rRNA from 1 species
UCCAGACUCCUACGGGAGGCAGCAGUGGGGGAUAUUGCACAAUGGGGGGAACCCUGAUGCAGCGACGCCGCGUGGGUGAAGGAGUAUUUCGGUAUGUAAAGCCCUAUCGGCAGGGAAGAAGCAAGACGGUACCUGACUAAGAAGCCCCGGCUAACUACGUGCCAGCAGCCGCGGUAAUACGUAGGGGGCAAGCGUUAUCCGGAUUUACUGGGUGUAAAGGGAGCGUAGACGGAAUUGCAAGUCUGAUGUGAAAAUCCGGGGCCCAACCCCGGAACUGCAUUGGAAACUGGGUGUCUUGAGGGCAGGAGAGGAAAGUGGAAUUCCUAGUGUAGCGGUGAAAUGCGUAGAUAUUAGGAGGAACACCAGUGGCGAAGGCGACUUUCUGGACUGUACCUGACGCUGAGGCGCGAAGGCGUGGGUAGCGAACGGGAUUAGAUACCCCUGUAG